rnacentral:rRNA from 1 species
CUCAACGAGAGACUCGGUGAAAUUAUAGUACCUGUGAAGAUGCAGGUUACCCGCGACAGGACGGAAAGACCCCGUGGAGCUUUACUGCAGCCUGAUAUUGAAUGUUGGUACAGCUUGUACAGGAUAGGUAGGAGCCUUGGAAACCGGAGCGCCAGCUUCGGUGGAGGCAUCGGUGGGAUACUACCCUGGCUGUAUUGACCUUCUAACCCGCCGCCCUUAUCGGGCGGGGAGACAGUGUCAGGUGGGCAGUUUGACUGGGGCGGUCGCCUCCUAAAGAGUAACGGAGGCGCCCAAAGGUUCCCUCAGAAUGGUUGGAAAUCAUUCGCAGAGUGUAAAGGCACAAGGGAGCUUGACUGCGAGACCUACAAGUCGAGCAGGGACGAAAGUCGGGCUUAGUGAUCCGGUGGUUCCGCAUGGAAGGGCCAUCGCUCAACGGAUAAAAGCUACCCCGGGGAUAACAGGCUUAUCUCCCCCAAGAGUCCACAUCGACGGGGAGGUUUGGCACCUCGAUGUCGGCUCAUCGCAUCCUGGGGCUGUAGUCGGUCCCAAGGGUUGGGCUGUUCGCCCAUUAAAGCGGUACGCGAGCUGGGUUCAGAACGUCGUGAGACAGUUCGGUCCCUAUCCGUCGCGGGCGCAGGAAAUUUGAGAGGAGCUGUCCUUAGUACGAGAGGACCGGGAUGGACGCACCGCUGGUGUACCAGUUGUUCUGCCAAGGGCAUCGCUGGGUAGCUAUGUGCGGAC